CACAACAGAAUGUAUCUGUCUAUGGAAAUGUGUACCUGUGUCUCUGUGUUAAAAUGAAAACUAAUGUCACUGAAUAUUGUUAUUUUUCAGGAAACAGCAUCAAGGGCAAAAGCGGGUCCAGCAGCUCCUUUUGGCACCUAGAGUAUUGUUUCAUAGGCGAUUCAUAGGCCUCAACCCAGAAAGAAGAAAAGCUGCAAACGGAAAAGGGAGAUCAACCAACAAGACAACCAAUGCAAAACACAGCAGUGAACCCGCAUGUCUCCAUUCUUCUUGUUCAUGAACCAGUGGAACUUUUAAGAUGGCAGACAGGAGGACAGCAACAAUGAAGGAAGGUCAGAGAGAGUAUCUGUCUGCUAAAUCUUUACUUUUCAUGUCUUUAACUGAUAUGAAGGCAGUUUGGAAACUUUGACGUUUGGGUACUUUUGUUUUAGUAAAGAUUAUUUAAUUAAUUGUAUUGAAUGUCAUAUUAUCAUGAUUGUAAAUGUAUCAGUUAUGUUUUUAGAUCUGAGUAUUUUUCACUCUGGUUGCAAUACUUUGAAGCAAAACAAAAUACAGUGUUUGGCAGCAGCAAUAUUUGCUUGUUACACAGAAGUCAGUUUCAGAUUUAAAUUGACAAUAAAAUCAAGUGAUUUUAAAAUAUACAUAUAUGUUUUUGUAAUUAGAAUUUUUUUUUGUGAGUUUGGUAAAUUAAGUUGCAAGUUUACAUGUAAACUUUUGCAAAGUAUGCAGUUUCAUAAACUACUGUAAAAUGAAAACUUUUUGUAAUUUAAACUAGCUUAAAUGCAUGUUCAAAUGUGUUGUCAUAUUGUUCUGACAAACUGCCAGUUAGCCACUCCCCUCUGCCAAGCCCCUCUGCUGCAUCUUUCUUCUCUGCUGGAGUGAUGAGAACCAGGUGGAUUCAAUCUCCUACCAAUCAGAGUGUAGGUACUUAAGGUGUGACUGACCUGUCACUCCUGUUUGAAGGGCCACAGCAAGAAGGCAAACAAUCCUGUUAACACGUAAAGUGAAACUGUGCAAAAGUUUCUAAAAAACUGUGAAGGACAGCCAGUAAACUCAAAAUACUGUUGCUCAUUCACAUGGACUUGGUUUGAUUGUUUGAGAGUUUUAAUAUUAUUGAAAAGAAAAGAAAAAAAAAGACAAUACACUUGGUGUUUAUUGGUUGAAGUAGAAAGUGAGAAAAGAUUUAAAGAAAAAGCUGUUGGUUAAAAUGUUUGACUAUGAAAUUAAAUGUUGUUAAAUAUGCUAAUUUAUUUAUUGAUAUUGAAUUUUAUUAUAAAACAUUUGCUAUUUAUCAAACUUUAGGUUUAAAUGGUGGAAAGGGGUGGCAAUUUAUCUUGUUAAUUUCACAAUGUAUUUAUCUUGUCGAUUUCAGAUUGUAAUUGAUGUGUUUCUGUUUGUUUUGAGGUUUUUCACCUAAGUGGUUGGACUACAAAAAAUUCUGAAAAAUAAAGAUGGACUAACUAAAAU